rnacentral:rRNA from 1 species
UACGUAGGUGGCAAGCGUUGUCCGGAUUUAUUGGGCGUAAAGCGAGCGCAGGCGGUUUCUUAAGUCUGAUGUGAAAGCCCCCGGCUCAACCGGGGAGGGUCAUUGGAAACUGGGAGACUUGAGUGCAGAAGAGGAGAGUGGAAUUCCAUGUGUAGCGGUGAAAUGCGUAGAUAUAUGGAGGAACACCAGUGGCGAAGGCGGCUCUCUGGUCUGUAACUGACGCUGAGGCUCGAAAGCGUGGGGAG